UACGUAGGGUGCGAGCGUUGUCCGGAAUUACUGGGCGUAAAGCGCACGUAGGCGGAUAUUUAAGUCAGGGGUGAAAUCCCAGAGCUCAACUCUGGAACUGCCUUUGAUACUGGGUAUCUUGAGUAUGGAAGAGGUAAGUGGAAUUGCGAGUGUAGAGGUGAAAUUCGUAGAUAUUCGCAGGAACACCAGUGGCGAAGGCGGCUUACUGGUCCAUUACUGACGCUGAGGUGCGAAAGCGUGGGGAGCAAACAGG
rnacentral:rRNA from 1 species